UGAGAGGUUGUGUGCUCACGGGGUUU
rnacentral:piRNA from 1 species